GUCCACCUUCCUGGCUCAUGCCAGAGACUUCCUAUGCCUUCUUUAAGUAAAGAUACUGGAAUGCUGGGCAUGGCAUAUAAUGACAGGAUCUGCCUGCAGUAGGCCAGGAUGGAGACAUCUCAGAAGCCCACAGCAGCUCCUUGUAGAAAAGAAUGGUGUCUGGGACCCUGAGAAGCAGGAGACCCAUCUCUCCAGGGGAUCCGCCAUCUGAAAUAAGGGACUGCCUGCAGUCAGCCUGGAUGGAGACAUCUCAGUAGCCCAUGGCAGCUCUUUUUGUAAAAAACAGUUAUUCCCAUUUCUUCUAACUGUAGCCCUGGACAAUGGCUGUAUAGAUUUCAUUUGUGUGUGACUGUUUAUCAGUUGGCCUUGGUAUGCAUAAUUAUUCUAGUA